UGGGGAAUUUUGGACAAUGGGCGCAAGCCUGAUCCAGCCAUGCCGCGUGCAGGAUGAAGGCCCUCGGGUUGUAAACUGCUUUUGUACGGAACGAAAAGCCUCUUUCUAAUAAAGAGGGGUGAUGACGGUACCGUAAGAAUAAGCACCGGCUAACUACGUGCCAGCAGCCGCGGUAAUACGUAGGGUGCGAGCGUUAAUCGGAAUUACUGGGCGUAAAGCGUGCGCAGGCGGUCUUGCAAGACAGUGGUGAAAUCCCCGGGCUCAACCUGGGAACUGCCAUUGGAAACUGGGCGGCUAGAGUGCGGUAGAGGGUAGUGGAAUUCCCGGUGUAGCAGUGAAAUGCGUAGAGAUCGGGAGGAACAUCUGUGGCGAAGGCGACUGCCUGGACCAGCACUGACACUGAGGCACGAAAGCGUGGGGAGCAAACA
rnacentral:rRNA from 1 species